GACGAACGCUGGCGGCGUGCUUAACACAUGCAAGUCGAACGGACAGGCCCUGCUCUUGUGGGGUGCUCGAGUGGCGAACGGGUGAGUAACACGUGAGUAACCUGCCCUUGACUUUGGGAUAACUUCAGGAAACUGGGGCUAAUACCGGAUAGGAGCUCCUGCUGCAUGGUGGGGGUUGGAAAGUUUCGGCGGUUGGGGAUGGACUCGCGGCUUAUCAGCUUGUUGGUGGGGUAGUGGCUUACCAAGGCUUUGACGGGUAGCCGGCCUGAGAGGGUGACCGGCGACAUUGGGACUGAGAGACGGCCCAGACGCGUACGGGAGGCAGCAGUGGGGAAUAUUGCACAAUGGGCGGAAGCCUGAGGCAGAAACGCCGCGUGCGGGAUGACGGCCUUCGGGUUGUAAACCGCUUUCGCCGGUGACGAAGCGUGAGUGACGGUAAUGGGUAAAGAAGCACCGGCUAACUACGUG
rnacentral:rRNA from 1 species